rnacentral:rRNA from 1 species
GCUCAGAACGAACGCGGGCGGCGUGCUUAAUACAUGCAAGUCGAACGAGAAAAUCCGGCUUCGGUUGGAUGAGUAAAGUGGCGAACGGGUGAGUAACACGUGGAUAAUCUGCCCGUACAUCCGGGAUAAUCCUUCGAAAGGAGGCUUAAUACCGGGUAAUAUUCCUGGGCGGCAUCGCUUGGGAAUCAUAGGCGGGGUAACCUGUCGUGUACGGAUGAGUCCGCGCCUCAUUAGCUUGUUGGCGGGGUAACGGCCCACCAAGGCGACGAUGAGUAGCCGACCUGAGAGGGUGAUCGGCCACACUGGGACUGAGAUACGGCCCAGACUCCUACGGGAGGCAGCAGUAGGGAAUAUUGCGCAAUGGACGAAAGUCUGACGCAGCAACGCCGCGUGGGUGAUGAAGUUUUUCGGAAUGUAAAACCCUGUCGGUGGGGAAGAAACGCACGAGUAGUAACUGCCUCGUGCCUGACGGUACCCACAAAGGAAGUCCCGGCUAACUCCGUGCCAGCAGCCGCGGUAAUACGGGGGGGACGAGCGUUGUUCGGAUUUACUGGGCGUAAAGGGCGCGUAGGCGGACCUUCAAGUCGGAUGUGAAACCCCCGGGCUUAGCUCGGGGCCUGCAUUUGAUACUGUUGGUCUUGAGUACAGGAGAGGAGAGUGGAAUUCCAGGUGUAGCGGUGAAAUGCGUAGAUAUCUGGAAGAACACCAGUAGCGAAGGCGGCUCUCUGGACUGAUACUGACGCUCAAGCGCGAAGGCUUGGGGAGCAAACAGGAUUAGAUACCCUGGUAGUCCAAGCGGUAAACUAUGGGUACUAGGUGUCGGGGGUAUCGACCCCCUCGGUGCCGCAGCUAACGCAGUAAGUACCCCGCCUGGGGAGUACGAUCGCAAGA